GGUCUAGUGCUGUGUGGAAGACUAGUGAUUUUGUUGUUCUGAUAUACUAUGACAACAAGUCACAGCUUCCUCAUAGCGUGGACU
rnacentral:pre_miRNA from 1 species